UACGGAGGGUGCAAGCGUUAAUCGGAAUUACUGGGCGUAAAGCGUGCGCAGGCGGUUUGUUAAGUCCGUUGUGAAAGCCCCGAGCUCAACUUGGGAAUUGCAGUGGAUACUGGCAGGCUGGAGUACGGUAGAGGAAGGUGGAAUUCCCGGUGUAGCAGUGAAAUGCGUAGAUAUGCGGAGGAACACCGAUGGCGAAGGCAAUCCCCUGGACCUGUACUGACGCUCAUGCACGAAAGCGUGGGGAGCAAACAGG
rnacentral:rRNA from 1 species